UACGUAGGGUGCAGGCGUUAAUCGGAAUUACUGGGCGUAAAGCGUGCGCAGGCGGCUUCUCAAGUCAGAUGUGAAAUCCCCGGGCUUAACCUGGGAACUGCGUUUGAAACUGGGAGGCUAGAGUGCGGCAGAGGGGGGUGGAAUUCCACGUGUAGCAGUGAAAUGCGUAGAUAUGUGGAGGAACACCGAUGGCGAAGGCAGCCCCCUGGGCCAGCACUGACGCUCAUGCACGAAAGCGUGGGGAGCAAACAGG
rnacentral:rRNA from 1 species